GAUGAACGCUGGCGGCGUGCUUAACACAUGCAAGUCGAACGAAGCAUUUUUGAAAGCUUGCCUUUGGAAAUGACUGAGUGGCGGACGGGUGAGUAACGCGUGGGUAACCUGCCUUAUACAGUGGGAUAACAGUUAGAAAUGACUGCUAAUACCGCAUAAGCGCACAGUACCGCAUGGUACAGUGUGAAAAACUCCGGUGGUAUAAGAUGGACCCGCGUCUGAUUAGCUAGUUGGUGAGGUAACGGCUCACCAAGGCAACGAUCAGUAGCCGACUUGAGAGAGUGAUCGGCCACAUUGGGACUGAGACACGGCCCUAACUCCUACGGGAGGCAGCAGUGGGGAAUAUUGCACAAUGGGGGAAACCCUGAUGCAGCGACGCCGCGUGAGUGAUGAGGUAUUUCGGUAUGUAAAACUCUAACAGCAGGGAAGAUAAUGACGGUACCUGACUAAGAAGCUCCGGCUAAAUACGUGCCAGCCGCCGCAGUAACAC
rnacentral:rRNA from 1 species